rnacentral:rRNA from 1 species
UACGUAGGGUGCAAGCGUUGAUCGGAAUUACUGGGCGUAAAGCGUGCGCAGGCGGCUUUGCAAGACAGAUGUGAAAUCCCCGGGCUUAACCUGGGAACUGCAUUUGUGACUGCAUGGCUGGAGUGCGGCAGAGGGGGAUGGAAUUCCGCGUGUAGCAGUGAAAUGCGUAGAUAUGCGGAGGAACACCGAUGGCGAAGGCAAUCCCCUGGGCCUGCACUGACGCUCAUGCACGAAAGCGUGGGGAGCAAACAGG